GAGAGAGAGAGAGAGAGAGAGAGAGAGAGAGAGAGAGAGAGAGAGAGAGAGAGAGAGAGAUAGAGAGAGAGAGAGAGAGAGAGAGAGAGAGAGAGAGAGAGAGAGACUACCUAAAAUCUUGCAUUGUAACAUGUAACAGUGUGCCUUGAAAUAUGACUCAUGUGAGAACAGUACAACAUAACACAGUAGGUUCUUGCACUAUAAGUCUGGCACCAUGUUUUUAUUUGAAAUUAUUAAAACUGAGUUGGAAUUGUUUUUAA